CACUUCCUAGGAGCUUGAGAAGGCAGGAGGCCCAGGGUCACUCUUGGGUUUCCCUAGACUUGGAGUUUUGCUCCAGACCUGGGUUGAGUCCUGGCUAACUGGCCAACUUAGGGACAGUCAUUGGGAGUUGGAUGUGCCCAGUCCUGCUGGUUCUGAGCUCCUCUUCCCAUCCCCAUCACUCUCCAGGGACAGUUCCUUCAGGGGGACAACCCCUUAGACCAGGGCUCUGCCAGGAACUGUUACAUCACCCUCUGUGCACCCCUGGGACCCAAGUAAAUUGGUUCUUACCCCAAGAAAUGAGGUAGAGGGGAACUGCAGCCUGGAUGAGACUCCUGGAUGAGAACACUGGGCUCUGUGCUUUCCAAGCUGAGGGGUGAGGGUUGUCAGGAGACCAGCCUAAGGUUCAGAGAAGCGUGUUUCCUAGGGUGUGGGGAGGCUCUGAGACCAAUGCCUCCUGGAAGGGAAGAACAUUGCUCUCUGGAGACCCAAGCUCAGGAGCCAACACUGUCUGGCUCUUUGACAUUGGGCAAGACACUCAGCAUUUCUCUCAUCCUUAAAAUGUGGCAACAGUAAUGAUCACAGCAACUAACCUGGCUGGCUUCCUGGGAAGGGCUGAAGAUGAGAAGAUAGAAAACUCACCAGCCAGGAUUAUACCAAGUGCACCUCAAAUGAUUCCACAAAAUAGAAAGGGAACUUAUUUAUUAUUAUUUUUAAUUGUGUGCACAUGUGUGUAUUCUUUAGGAUUGUGUGUGUGUGUGUGUGUAUGCACGCGCGUGCACGCACAUGGGUGUAUGGGGGGAAAGAUUGUGUUUGGUAGUGGGGAUCAAAUCAAACACAGGGCAUGAUGUAUGGUUGGCAAGCACUCUACCACUGAGCCACAUUCCCAGCCCUUCUUUUUAUUUUCAGACAUGGUCUCACUAAAUUGACCAAGCUGGCCUUGUGGUCUUCCAGUCUCAGCCUCCCAUAUAGCCUCCCAACAGGAGUUCACUGCCAUAACCUGCUUAGCAUUUUCUAUAUGCAAGAUCUUGCCAUCUGCAAAUAGAUAGGUUUUCUUCUUUCUCAAGUGGAUACUUUAAAAAUUUUUUUCUUGCCUAAUUUCCGUGGCUGAAACUUUUAACCAAUAGGAUGUUAGAUUUUUUCAUAAACACCCUUCAUCAGGUUGAGGAAGUUUCCUUUUUUCUUUGGUGUGUGUGUGUGUGUGU